UAUGUACAUGUGCAUGUGUGGGUUUGACUUUCUGUCUCCUGCACUCCUCCCUUCUACCUUCCUUAAGAAUCUUUUUCUGUAUGAACACCAUCUGUGAUAAAAAUAGACAAGCUUUGUCUGAUCUGUCUGAUGGCUUUCAUGCUGCCAGUCUGCCUUCUUCCCUCUGCUGACCUGGGACUGGGCUAGGUGUUGAGGUGGUGGGAGGGGAAGGGCACAGGGCCUCCUCCCUCCUAUUUCUGUUUGAGCCCCUUAAGCUGUCUUCAUUCUUUGGAUUCUCCUCCAACCCAGAAUCAGAACUAAUGGUUUUUCACUCUUCCCUCACUGACCAAGCACCGAUCCCUCUUGAGUGAAAGAAGACCCUGCCACAUAAGCCAGCACUUACUCCCUUCCCUGUGUCCUGUGAGUGUGUUCCUGGAGAGGACUAGAGUCCCGUGUGAGAGCUGAGAAGUUAUUCAGUUGCGUAUGAAGACAUGACACAGAGCACAUUCCGGGGCAGGCCGAGUGCUCAGGAACAGUUGGCCAACACAGAGUCGACCCCUAUGUUUUUUGGUCCUCUUUUCUUUUGUUUUUGUUUGGUUUUAAGGGGAGGAAAGAACAUGAGGUUGGGAGGGUAAGAAAUGGGGGAAGACCUGGGAAAGCUAGGGGAUGGGAAAAAUUCUGGUAAAAAUGUACUGUGUGAAAUUCUCCAAGAAAAAAAAAAUAGAGAGACCUAUUAACUUAUUAAAGGUGUCUGUGAUCAACAAGGCAGAGACUUUUUAAAAAAAGUAAUUUCCUACUUUCCAAGGAGAUUCAUGGGGACAGCAGCCAUGGGAGCAGGUGCUGGGGGCAUCCCAGGCUAUGCACACGGGUGCCUCUUUUCCCUCUUGCAUACAUGUGUAACAGGACCUGGGGAGCCUAGAGGCUGCCAGGACAAGCCCCGUCAAGCUUCAGGAGCCCUUCCCGGACGCUGCUGGCACAGGGGAACCCACCAGUCUCCUCCCUAACACACAAGCAGCUUAUCUCAGGUCUUGUUUUGGCUUAGAAGUCUUUUAAUCUCUCACGAUGGUUGGAAUGGAUCAGCCUCUAUUUUUACUCCUGGAUGGAGAAGACAUGAAUCAGACUGGGCCAACUCUGUUGGACUUGUAGAGGCCUGCCGCGGAGCACACAUUCCUUUUAGCUUUAGGCAUAUUAAGGACAGAGGGGGAGAGAGCAAAUGAAAACACAGACAGGAGAGAGCCUGCUACAGAUGACAGGGAACUGGCGCACAGUAGGCAUUCAGCAAAUGUCUGCGGAAAUGAACACCCAGCAAUCCAACAGUGUCACGUGGCUUUCUCCCUGGCUCCACUGUGCAGCGCAGUUGCUGGGAAUAUGGCAGCAAGCAGGUUGUUUUCUGGAUACCUGUGAUUUUCCCAAAGCAAGUACCUGGGGGAGGGGGUUGGUUACAGACAAGGGAACUUUCUAGGCACCAUGUAGGCUUGGAAACCUUCACUUUCCUGUCCUUACAGGUGGCUUGCCACAUCUACCUGCCAUGUGCUGGCCAAGGGGACGUCUUCAGGCAUGAGGACGCUCUGUGGUAUCCAUGGGCCCCUCCUUUGUUGUCCUGGUACUUAGGGAAGCUCAGCUUCUGCUGAGGUAGGAAUUUGGGCUAUCGUGAUACUUUUUUGUGGAGGACUGGGGAGUAACUGGUAGCUACUGGCUUGGUAUAACAGUCAUGACUCAUCACAGUAAAGUGUCCAUCUGCUUUCCAAACCGAAGGCUGAAUUAGAUUGCAGGGGGUAGGGAAGAAGGCAAUAUGUCUUGAACGGUAGCCAGAGAUAAAGAGGCUUUGACUCUAGGUAUUUAGAGCAGUGUAGAGAAAAGACCAUCAUGACUAUAGAUGUCCUAAGAGGAGUGGGUUCAAGAGAGGAGUUAGCCAAGUUCUUGUCAAACAUAAGUCUUUUGGGGUCCCUCGCUGUCUUGCUUGGCUCUGUAGAUUACACUGAAGCCCUGAUUCCUGUACCUGCUAUUGCUGCUCUGCCUUGGGAUCUGCUCAGCACAGAGCAGAGGUGCAGAAAGCAUUGUAAGCUGCUCCUUCUUCAGGGCUGGCCAUGUCUGAGCUAACGAUGAAGACCAAGAAGCCCCGAGACCUGAAGAUGCAGAGCAGAGGCCUAAGAAGGACCGAAGGCUGGAGAAGACCAAUGUCUCUGCUCAAGGAGCCCAAAAGGAAAGGAUUUUGUAUUUUCCUCCCAGAGUCACCUUGGCCAUUGGCGAGUCACAUCUUUGGGUGCCUUGUGAAGAAUUUUCCACAAAGAACUAACCCACCAUGGAUGUGGGCAGCAGCAUCCCAAGGGCUGGGGACAUGGAACUGGACUUCAGAAACCCGGCCAGAAGAGACUAAUGCACCUACUUCCAUGGCCUCCGAUGGCGAGACCUGCUUGCUGGCACCCAUUUGUCUCCUGCCAGCAUCUGACUGAUUCUACUCCAGAUCCAGAAUCCCUCCUAGCAUCUGGGAUACAGAGGUCUGACAGCAGGAAAGAUGGUGGAGAGACUUGCCGCACUAUGCCAGCUUUGUACUACAGGAGUGAACCGUCCUUCGUGGCACUGACUCUCUAUGGCUCUGCCAAAAGAUGGCUAUAAAACCAACCGAUUCUUUGUUUCCCAGAUGCUAGGGUUCUUACCUGUCUCCCCCACAGAAAUUUACUUUCUCAAAUGAAACCUGACACCAGCAAUCUCUUUUCAAACCUUCCCCACCCAAGCUCACCUCACCCACUAAUAUUCUUUGGUUAUAGUGUCUGAGCGAGAAUAGAGGUAUGUACGGAAAAGUGAACCGUGCUCACCAACACAAGAGAACCUGGCGUGAGCGGAGAUAAACCCCCACCCCCCAGGUUGUUUAUGGUCGUGGUGAUCUGUCACAGCAGUGGAAACCCUGGCCAAGAGAAAAAUUAACUCGGAUUCAGGAACACAAACAUUCCAUGGCCUCUUUUAUCAUGGGUUCUGGCUUAUGGAUGUGUAUAUAUAUGGGGGUGAGUUGGAGUACAGUUAAUGAAAUCAGGGAAGAGACUGUGAGAAGGGGGAACGCUGCUGAGGAAGGCAUGGAGGUUAAUAGGGGCUGCGUGCCAUCCAAGUAGAAAAGCAACUACCAGGACGGAAGGGUAAAGGAAGGCCAGGAGUGUGCAAGGAGAGAAAAACUCAGGAUAUUUGAAAAGGUCACAGUAAACUUAACACUUUGCUAAUUUUAGAAGUAAAAAAACCAUACAUGAGUGGUGAUAGUCUUAAAAAAAAAACAGGUUUGAUCUGAGGAAAGAGAAUCAAAGGCUCUAUACAUAGAGAGUUGAAAUCUUUACUGGAAAAGAAACCACAGAUAAGAGUGGCAGCGUGACAGGCUUUUCCUGCCAGGAUAGCUCUCAGGAAGAAGGAAAGACAGACAGCAAUAAACAUUCGUGAUGAAGCUGCCUUGAAAUACGGUUUGAAAAUUCCCCCAAGGAGCUGGUCUUGGAGCAGUCAUCUGACUCAGUGGUUCCACUCCAUGAGCACCGAGGACACGUGUCUACACAGACAUCUGUACACCAGUGUUCCUGGCAGCACUGCCCAUAAUAACCAAAGGAUGAGAAGGCCGGCAUUGGCAGAUGAAGAAUGGAAAGUCAGAACAGGACACAUUGUCUGCCAUCAAAGAAUGAACUGAACCCAUGCUCAGCUUGGAUGGGAACUGGAGUCUGUGUAUUUAGUGAAAAGUACUAACCACCAAAUAUGGCUCCUGUACGGUUCUGUGUUCAUCACACUCUGCAAUGGGCAAGUCCUCCAUGACAAAAAACAGAUCGGUGGCUGCCAAAGGGUUUCAGGGAAACACAGAGAAUGUUGUUAACUGGACUAGGGAUGCAGCUCAGUGAUGAACUGCUUGCUUAGCGUGCGUGAGGCCUAGUGUUCAGUUCCCGGCACAAACAACACAAAUACAGGGGCUGAGAGUCCUUCUUGGUGCAUAGGUUUUCUUCCAGGCUGUGUGCUUUACAAAGGUGGGUUGUGGUGUGUCAAUGCCCGAGAGUAUUUGGAUCUUACCUAAUUGCUCACAUGGUCUGGAAUCAUUCAUGGCCUGCUCAUUGUGUGAGCUAUAGUCCUAACUUAACUACAGGGCCUAAAAGUUAAAAUAAAA
rnacentral:sRNA from 1 species